rnacentral:rRNA from 1 species
UGGAUCCAGACUUUGAUCAUGGCUCAGGAUGAACGCUGGCGGCGUGCCUAACACAUGCAAGUCGAACGGAGUUACUUGUUUAGAUCUCUUCGGAGUGACGAACUUUUAACUUAGUGGCGGACGGGUGAGUAACACGUGAGCAACCUGCCUUUCAGAGGGGGACAACGGCUGGAAACGGUCGCUAAUACCGCAUAAAAUAUUUGAGCGGCAUCGCUUAAAUAUCAAAGGAGCAAUCCGCUGAAAGAUGGGCUCGCGUCUGAUUAGAUAGUUGGUGGGGUAACGGCCUACCAAGUCGACGAUCAGUAGCCGGACUGAGAGGUUGAACGGCCACAUUGGGACUGAGGUACGGCCCAGACUCCUACGGGAGGCAGCAGUGGGGAAUAUUGCACAAUGGGGGAAACCCUGAUGCAGCAACGCCGCGUGAAGGAAGACGGUUUUCGGAUUGUAAACUUCUUUUCUUAGUGAAGAAACAAAUGACGGUAGCUAAGGAAUAAGCAUCGGCUAACUACGUGCCAGCAGCCGCGGUAAUACGUAGGAUGCGAGCGUUAUCCGGAUUUACUGGGUGUAAAGGGAGCGCAGGCGGGACUGCAAGUUGGAUGUGAAAUACCGCAGCUUAACUGCGGAGCUGCAUCCAAAACUGUAGUUCUUGAGUGGAGUAGAGGCAAGCGGAAUUCCGAGUGUAGCGGUGAAAUGCGUAGAUAUUCGGAGGAACACCAGUGGCGAAGGCGGCUUGCUGGGCUCUAACUGACGCUGAGGCUCGAAAGUGUGGGGAGCAAACAGGAUUAGAUACCCUGGUAGUCCACACUGUAAACGAUGAUAGCUAGGUGUGGGGGGUCUGACCCCUUCCGUGCCGGAGUUAACGCAAUAAGCUAUCCACCUGGGGAGUACGGCCGCAAGGUUGCAACUCAAAUGAAUUGACGGA